UACAGAGGGGGCAAGCGUUAUUCGGAAUUAUUGGGCGUAAAGAGCGUGUAGGCGGCCAGACAGGUCAGCUGUGAAAACUCGAGGCUCAACCUCGAGACGUCGGUUGAAACCGUCUGGCUAGAGUCCGGAAGAGGAGAGUGGAAUUCCCGGUGUAGCGGUGAAAUGCGCAGAUAUCAGGAGGAACACCGGUGGCGAAGGCGGAUCUCUGGGCCUUACCUGACGCUGAGGAGCGAAAGCAUGGGGAGCAAACAGG
rnacentral:rRNA from 1 species